rnacentral:rRNA from 1 species
GACGAACGCUGGCGGCGCGCUUAACACAUGCAAGUCGAGCGAUGAAAUCUUGACAGCUCCCUUCGGGGUGAAGAUAAGAUGGAUUAGCGGCGGACGGGUGAGUAACACGUGAGUAACCUGCCUUAGACAUUGGGAUAGCCUCGGGAAACCGGGAUUAAUACCAAAUGAAAUCAUAGGUGCCCAUGCACUAAUGAUCAAAACUCCGGUGGUCUAAGAUGGACUCGCGUCCCAUUAGCUAGUUGGUGAGGUAAUGGCCCACCAAGGCGACGAUGGGUAGCCGGCCUGAGAGGGUGAACGGCCACAUUGGAACUGAGAAACGGUCCAAACUCCUACGGGAGGCAGCAGUGGGGAAUAUUGCACAAUGGAGGGAACUCUGAUGCAGCGACGCCGCGUGAACGAUGAAGGCUUUCGAGUCGUAAAGUUCUUUUAUAUGGGAAGAUAAUGACGGUACCAUAAGAAAAAGCCCCGGCUAACUACGUG